rnacentral:misc_RNA from 1 species
GUCAUGUUGAUUAUUCAUUUUGCCACAUUUGUGCCUCUGGUGAAUAAAUGUUUAUCUUGCAUGGAACUGGGGAAAACUACUUAUUCAGUUUUAUGCAUGAGAAUUUCCUAAACAAGGUGUUUUCUGGUGAUACUCAGAUUAUUGCAUGGGCUCAGAUUUCUUCUCCUUGUUUUUUCAGCACUGUGGAUCUUAUUCAAGAAUUGUUCCAGAUCCAU